rnacentral:snRNA from 1 species
GGAUUUGAGGGCAAGCUGGUGGUGACAUCUGUCACCCCACUGAUCCGCCAGGGCUGAUUUAUCUGGCUAGAUGGAUGUCCCUUUCCUCCCUCACCACUCCAUGUGUCCCUAAAGCUGUGCGUCUGUGGAAAAGGGUGACCACCCCAGAGAGAGGAGGUACCUUUUCUCAGUCAAGGAUAUACAGUAGUUGAGCUCCCCUGCUAGAAUUUCCAAACAAGCUCUCAAAAGCAAAGAGCAAGGGAAGAGUCAGAGAGGAA